GAUGAAUGCUGGCGGCGUGCCUAAUACAUGCAAGUCGAGCGGUAAGGCCCUUCGGGGUACACGAGCGGCGGACGGCUGAGUAACGCGUGGGAACAUGCCCCAAAGUGAGGGAUAACGCACCGAAAGGUGUGCUAAUACCGCAUAUGGUCUUCGGAUUAAAGGAUUUAUCCGCUUUGGGAGUGGCCCGCGUACGAUUAGAUUGUUGGUGAGGUAACGGCUCACCAAGUCGACGAUCGUUAACUGGUCUGAGAGGAUGAUCAGUCAGACUGGAACUGAGACACGGUCCAGACUCCUACGGGAGGCAGCAGUAAGGAAUCUUCCACAAUGGGCGAAAGCCUGAUGGAGCAACGCCGCGUGCAGGAUGAAGGCCCUCGGGUCGUAAACUGCUUUAUGAGUGAGAAUAUGACGGUAACUCAUGAAUAAGCACCGGCUAACUACGUGCCAGCAGCCGCGGUAAU
rnacentral:rRNA from 1 species